AACGCACAUUGCGCCCCUUGGUAUUCCAUGGGGCAUGCCUGUUCGAGCGUCAUUUGUACCCUCCAGCCCUGCUGGGUGUUGGGCGUUUUGUUCCGCUAUGCGCGUGAACUCGCCUCAAAUGCAUUGGCAGCCCGCCGUCCCGUGUGGGAGCGCAGCACAUUUUGCGCUCUCCGCUGCUGACGGUGGCAUCCACAAGUCUAUUAUUUUACGCUUGACCUCGGAUCAGGUAGGGAUACCCGCUGAACUUAA
rnacentral:misc_RNA from 1 species